rnacentral:pre_miRNA from 1 species
UGGUGCACUCUCCGUCAUGAUAGGACAAACGGGCAUCCGACGUGGCAUGUCACGUGUACCAAAAAAUGCCACAUGGCAUGCCAUGUGUCAAAAAUACCACGUGCCAUAUGUCAUUUUUGUCCACGUGACAUGUCAUGUCGGACGCCCAUUUGUCCUACCGUGACGGAUGGUGUAAAG